GAUGAACGCUGGCGGCGUGCCUAAUACAUGCAAGUCGAGCGAACAGACGAGGAGCUUGCUCCUCUGACGUUAGCGGCGGACGGGUGAGUAACACGUGGAUAACCUACCUAUAAGACUGGGAUAACUUCGGGAAACCGGAGCUAAUACCGGAUAAUAUAUUGAACCGCAUGGUUCAAUAGUGAAAGACGGUUUUGCUGUCACUUAUAGAUGGAUCCGCGCCGCAUUAGCUAGUUGGUAAGGUAACGGCUUACCAAGGCAACGAUGCGUAGCCGACCUGAGAGGGUGAUCGGCCACAUGGGAGCUGAGACACGGUCCAGACUCCUACGGGAGGCAGCAGUAGGGAAUCUUCCGCAAUGGGCGAAAGCUUGACGGAGCAACGCCGCGUGAGUGAUGAAGGUCUUCGGAGCGUAAAACUCUGUUAUUAGGGAAGAACAAAUGUGUAAGUAACUAUGCACGUCUUGACGGUACCUAAUCAGAAAGCCACGGCUAACUACGUG
rnacentral:rRNA from 1 species